AUUAUCAAAAAUUUGUGGACCGCGCAAAUACAACUAACAAAAAAAUAGCAUAAGAGGAAAGAUGUAUUAAAUUUUUUUUUUUAAAAAACAAAAUAUUAAAUCAGUAAACGUUUAAAGAAGGUAGAAAGUUUCGGAUUAACUGAGAGAAAGAUGUCAAGUGGUGUAAUUAAAGCUGCAUUUAAGAUUAUAGCUUUAAGAGGCAGGAAGAAUAAAUCGAGAAAUGAUGAAAUACAUUCUACAUCUGAUAAAAUAUCUUCAACAUAUACUGUAACAUUACUGCUUAUUUUUAACUUUUUCGUCACAAAGAGUCAGUACGUUGGUGAUCCAAUUGCUUGUUGGGCUCCGGCGUAUUUUGCUAGAAGUUGGAAGAAAUACGCAGAUAAUUAUUGUUGGGUUAAAGGAACUUAUCCAUUACCCUUUGAUGAAGAUAUCCCUCAAGAUGAAUUGUAUCGUGAAGAUAAAACGUUACGAUAUUAUCAAUGGGUUCCUUUGUAUUUGUUCGCUAUGUGUGUUUUCUUCUAUUUGCCAAGUUGUUUAUGGAGUUGGGUAAAUUCACAGUCAGGAGUGGCCCUAUCGCCUCUUAUCAAAGCCGCUAAAGAGUACCAAUCAACUGCAGAUGACAAGGAAUUAGAGGCGAUUUGCUUUUGUUUUGAGAAAUUUGUUAAUAAUCAACUAGCGAGAAAACACUGGAUUUUGCAGAUACUUUGCGUGUUAAGUAAUAGGGCUAGAGGAAAUUUUAUGAUAACGUGUUAUCUUAUAACUAAAGUAUUGUAUUUAGUAAGUUCUAUUGGUCAAUUUUUUCUGGUGAGCUACAUGCUGGGAUUUAAUCUUAGUUCAUAUUCUCUCAAGGCUCUUUAUGACAUGAGCAAUGGAAACGAUUUAGCAGAAUCAAAAUUUUUCCCUAGAGUAACAAUGUGUAAUUUCAAAGUUAGACGCCUCGGAACUAUAAAUGACGUCAAUUUACAAUGUGUAUUACCAAUUAAUUUGUUUAAUGAAAAAAUUUUCAUCUUUAUAUGGAUUUGGAUUAUUUUUGCAAUUGUUCUUCAAGCUUUCUCCUUUAUAAGAUGGCUCUUCCUUGCCUUAUCAUUUAUAGAUAGAAAGAGAUACGUUCAUAAUCUUCUAGAAGGGGUUAAAAACAAAGAUAAUCUAAAAGAUUUUUGUGAAUAUAUUCACAAGGAUGGAGCAUUAGUGCUAAAGAUGAUCAAUAGCAAUACAAACUCUUUAGUAACGUCCGAUAUAGCUAAAUUACUGUAUAAAAGAAAAUAUGAAGAGAUUAAUUCAAAUUCUAAUAAUCAAGAGGCGAUUGUUUAAGAACAAAAUAAAAAAGCGUCUAAUAGCAAAAAAAAACGGAUGUGACGAUAAUAUAAAAGUUCAUUUUUUAUUAUGUUAUUCUUUCUUUACCGUUAUCAUUCUGUUAAGGAUUCUAAAUAAAUAUUACAAAAUACCAAAAUCUAUUUAUUUAUCCUAGAUAACAAUUAUCUGCU
rnacentral:misc_RNA from 1 species